rnacentral:lncRNA from 1 species
UUCUGCCUCUCAUGAAGAGAAUUUGAAACACAACCCUGUGUAUCAAGCCCCACAGAGCAAGCACACCUCAAGUGCCAUCAAAGAAAAAUGGAAGUACACUCUUCACUAACAAAUGUCUAAUUGCUGGCAGAGCAACCUCAGAAAAUGAGACUGUUCGGUUGAUUCUACAACUUAAUAUAAUCACAAGGUGGCACAAGUGCACUAUUCAUGCAUCCGUGCCGAUUGCAGAGGCUUCAGUGUUUGCGGAGGACCGCAUUGAUACAAACACUUAUUUGUACUCAUGAAGCUACCAGAAUUUUGCAGUAAUAAUCUCAGCACUCUCAGCCACGACAGGUUUUGGGGUUUCGAAGCAUGUAAUGGUCGAUGCGACCCACGUUGUCCAUCCAACGGCAUACUGCUCUGCCAUAUCCUGCUUCACCACGUCCCGUUAAACCUCCAUAUCCAGAACUACAACCUCCGCUAUUAUAUC